UCGGGUCGGCUUGGGUGGACGAAUCCUCCGAC
rnacentral:scRNA from 1 species